rnacentral:lncRNA from 1 species
UCGUAAUACAAGAUGAUUUAUAUUAAUCAGCAUCCUCUAAAAAUCAGUGCAAAACAAAUGCAACACAACUGAAGACCUUGAAUAAAGACUUUCUGAGCCAGCCACUGCUCCCUCUGAAUAUGCCCUCUUGACAAAUGGAAGCCACAACUUUCAGUAGCCUAAUAUGUGCUGAAGAGUUCUGAAGAGUUUCAAGUUGUCAGAGACCAUCCACUGUCAUCCAUGACAAAAUAACCUGCUGCCUGCUUCUACUGCUGAACCAUUAAAUAAAAUGCUUAUGCCAAGACACAGCUGUGCCAGAUCUCUUGUUUCAUCAAGGAACAAAUGAUAUUAAGGCCAUCUUAUGCCUUAAUUCACAGAAAAUUUAUAGGGUAAAUAGGAAUGGAGUGGCAAGAGAGGAGGUGGACAGUGGGGAUUUUGCUGGUUUCACUUAGCUUUUGUGGCACCAAGGUGAAAAAGCCAAAAGCUUUUGUGCUUUGAUUGCUGUAAUGAAGGUAACUUCUCUUGGUUGCAUGUGACUUCUGAUGCUCUGCAGUAAAGCACCAACUCUGCUUGGCUGCUCUGUGGUACCUAGGUAUUUGCAUGCUGGCAAGAUAGAAGAGAGGACUCAAGAAUAAGAUACAAAUGAGGUAGAAUAGUGUGCCAGGAAGAAAAGAAAGGAGAAAUAAAAGAGGAAGGUCACUGCAGACAAAGUAAUCAGAAGAAUGAGACAACUCUGGACCAAAAUGCAGUCUACCUCUUACACUGGAUAAAACUUAUAUUACCAGAUAUCAAACCGGUACUAUUUGUAGAUGGUGAUGUAUUUAAAUGUUGAAAAAAAUAUCUGUUUCAAAGCCUUCUAAAAGUCUAGCAGCAGCUGGAGCAGACCCUUCAGUUUAGCCACUCUAGAGCAAAAUCCAGAUGACCACAUGGUCAAAUGCCUUGCUUUCACCUCCAACAAACUUAACUCUCCCAUAGGUGGAGAAUUAUAAGCAAUACCUAUGGUUCCAGAACCAUAAACUGUGAGCACCACAACAGCCUGCUGGAAUUCAGAGUCCCUUCACAUCUUGAAGUUUGCUUACACAGGCUCUACCCAAAUACGCAUAUUUUAGCUCACAAAUAUGAUCUGGGUCAUGCAGUUCCCCUGUUAGCUGCAUUUUCCACAGUGUCUCUGUACAGGUAAAACAGUUUCAGAGCUCAACUCCUCCUCAAGCCUGAUAGCAGCAGGAAAAUAUCUUCAAUGGUAGGUAAUGUCUUUAGGCUGUUGUACAUCUCUGUUUCACUCAUACAUUUGUCAGUACAGUGUAUUAAUUUAGCUACAUUAUUUUGAAGAAGCCUUUUGAAUCUGCUUAGAAUAACAGGAAGAAUAGAGAUAACCUGGCAGUACAAGAGAUUUGCAUGUUCUGCAGAAAUUCCAGUGAUGAGACUGUGAACUGUAUUAGUAAGAAGUCUUGAAGGACUACAAAG